GACAGAGGGUGCUAGCGUUGUUCGGAAUUACUGGGCGUAAAGCGCGCGUAGGCGGAUCGGCAAGUCCGGAGUGAAAUCCCGCCGCUCAACGGCGGGGCUGCUUUGGAAACUGCAGGUCUAGGGAGCGGUAGAGGUCGGUAGAAUUCCCGGUGUAGCGGUGGAAUGCGUAGAAGAUCGGGAAGAAUGCCCGUGGCGGAAAGGCGG
rnacentral:rRNA from 1 species